rnacentral:rRNA from 1 species
AACGAACGCUGGCGGCAUGCCUAACACAUGCAAGUCGAACGAGACCUUCGGGUCUAGUGGCGCACGGGUGCGUAACGCGUGGGAACCUGCCCUUAGGUUCGGAAUAACUCCCCGAAAGGGGUGCUAAUACCGGAUAAUGUCUUCGGACCAAAGAUUUAUCGCCUUUGGAUGGGCCCGCGUUGGAUUAGCUAGUUGGUAGGGUAAAAGCCUACCAAGGCGACGAUCCAUAGCUGGUCUGAGAGGAUGAUCAGCCACACUGGGACUGAGACACGGCCCAGACUCCUACGGGAGGCAGCAGUGGGGAAUAUUGGACAAUGGGCGAAAGCCUGAGCCAGCAAGGCCGCGUGAAUGAUGAAGGCCUUAGGGUUGUAAAGCUCUUUUACCCGGGAUGAUAAUGACAGUACCGGGAGAAUAAGCUCCGGCUAACUCCGUG